rnacentral:rRNA from 1 species
GACGAACGCUGGCGGCGUGCUUAACACAUGCAAGUCGAACGGAAAGGCCUGUCCUUCCUUGUGUUGGACGGGUACUCGAGUGGCGAACGGGUGAGUAACACGUGAGUGAUCUGCCCCCAACUUGGGUAUAAGCCUGGGAAACUGGGUCUAAUUCCCGAUAGGACUGCAGGGUGGUGCCUGUGGUGGAAAACGAUUUUCUAGUGGUUGGGGAUGAGCUCGCGGCCUAUCAGCUUGUUGGUGGGGUAAUGGCCUACCAAGGCGGCGACGGGUAGCCGGCCUGAGAGGGUGGACGGCCACAUUGGGACGGAGAUACGGCCCAGACUCCUACGGGAGGCAGCAGUGGGGAAUAUUGCACAAUGGGCGGAAGCCUGAUGCAGCGACGCCGCGUGGGGGAUGACGGCCUUCGGGUUGUAAACUCCUUUCGACCGCGAGGAAGCCGCCUGGUUGGAAGGGUGGUGACGGUAGUGGUAGAAGAAGCACCGGCUAACUACGUG